rnacentral:rRNA from 1 species
UACGAAAGGGGGGCGAGCGUUGUCCGGAAUCACUGGGCGUAAAGGGCGCGUAGGCGGCCUGAUAAGUAGGGGGUGAAAUCCUGUGGCUUAACUGCAGGGCUGCCUCCUAGACUGUUAGGCUCGAGCACGGUAGAGGCAGAUGGAAUUCCCGGUGUAGCGGUGGAAUGCGUAGAGAUCGGGAAGAACAUCGGUGGCGAAGGCGGUCUGCUGGGCCGUUGCUGACGCUGAGGCGCGACAGCGUGGGGAGCAACAGG